rnacentral:rRNA from 1 species
GUCCACGCCCUAAACGAUGUCAACUGGGUGUUGGGGAAGCGAUUCCUCGGUACCGUAGCUAACGCGUGAAGUUGACCGCCUGGGGAGUACGGCCGCAAGGUUAAAACUCAAAGGAAUUGACGGGGACCCGCACAAGCGGUGGAUGAUGUGGAUUAAUUCGAUGCAACGCGAACAACCUUACCUACCCUUGACAUGUCUGGAAGCCUGCUGAGAGGCGGGUGUGCUCGAAAGAGAACCGGAACACAGGUGCUGCAUGGCUGUCGU